rnacentral:rRNA from 1 species
UACGUAGGGGGCAAGCGUUGUCCGGAUUUAUUGGGCGUAAAGAGCGUGUAGGCGGCCAUGCAGGUCCGUUGUGAAAACUGGAGGCUUAACCUCCAGACGUCGAUGGAAACCGUAUGGCUAGAGUCCGGAAGAGGAGAGUGGAAUUCCUGGCGUAGCGGUGAAAUGCGCAGAUAUCAGGAAGAACACCCGUGGCGAAGGCGGCUCUCUGGGACGGUACUGACGCUGAGACGCGAAAGCGUGGGGAGCGAACAGG